rnacentral:rRNA from 1 species
UACGGAGGGGGCAAGCGUUAUCCGGAUUUACUGGGUUUAAAGGGCGCGUAGGCGGGCAUUUAAGUCAGUGGUGAAAUACCGGAGCUUAACUUCGGAACUGCCACUGAUACUAUAUGUCUUGAAGAUUGUGGAGGUAAGUGGAAUAUGUCAUGUAGCGGUGAAAUGCAUAGAUAUGACAUAGAACACCGAUUGCGGAGGCAGCUUGCUACACAAAUAUUGACGCUGAGGUACGAAAGCGUGGGGAGCAAACAGG